GGACAUUGUCUACUUGACUGCUAGUCACACACCUUUCUUGUGGGGCUGGGGAGGGGCAGUAACUUUGACAGGAAUCAGGGGUCCAGGAUAGAACGCCUUCUCUCCCAUGCAGGUGGAAAUUACCACCCAUCGGGUCCCAUCGGGGUUCAAGACCUAGGCUCAACGCUCAACUGGAGACCAGGCUGUCUGUGCAUAGCCCAUUGCCCCACACACCAUCACUUCACAGGUGGACCUUCUUGCUACUAUCCUCUAAGUGCUAAGAUGACAGGCCUGCACCACCACACCCAUCUCGGUGGUUUUUCUCUGGAGGCCAGAAGACUUGGACAAGGAGAUGGCACAUGGACUAGCAUGGAAUGGCUAUGUGCUGUGCCCAAAGGCUGAUGUUUGGAGAGAACAGAUGGUGGAUGUAUGAAUUCAUUCCUUGUUGAGGGUUUUCUGCCUACUCUUCCUGUCUGCCUGUCACUGCUGCUGGGAUCAGCCUGGCAAAAGGCCCAGCUGGUCAAGUGUACAAGCAGUGGCCUGCAUGUCAGCCUUGAGGCAUGCAGUUUCAGAUUCCAGAGGUUUGCUGCUGGCUCCCAGCCCUGCUGACUCAACUUGGGGGUUUUUCAGUCAAUUUGCCCUAAGGGUCUUCUUGUCAGACAGGUUUUCUGUGCCAGGCUCCUCUUCCUAGCAGGCUACAGGGGAACUGUCAGAAAAAGGAACACCAAUGCAAACUUGUUGAAUAAAAACUUAACCAGGCAGCAUAAACAAGAAAAGCUGUCUGCCCC
rnacentral:lncRNA from 1 species